ensembl:lncRNA
UGAUCAUUAGGUCUGUUAUAGUCAUGUUGAUAUUCUGUGUGUCUGUCCUUCAGUGAUAUAGACUGUCUACUGAUCAUUAGGUCUGUUAUAGUCAUGUUGAUAUUCUGUGUGUCUGUCCUUCAGUGGUAUAGACUGUCUACUGAUCAUUAGGACUGUUAUAGUCAUGUUGAUAUUCUGUGUGUCUGUCCUUCAGUGGUAUAGAAUGUCUACUGAUCAUUAGGUCUGUUAUAGUCAUGUUGACAUUCUGUGUGUCUGUCCUUCAGUGGUAUAGACUGUCUACUGAUCAUUAGGUCUGUUAUAGUCAUGUUGAUAUUCUAUGUAUGUGUCUGUCCUUCAGUGGUAUAGACUGUCUACUGAUCAUUAGGUCUGUUAUAGUCAUGUUGAUAUUCUGUGUGUCUGUCAUUCAGUGGUAUAGACUGUCUACUGAUCAUUAGGUCUGUUAUAGU